rnacentral:lncRNA from 1 species
UCUGGCAGGAGUGAUGACGGGUGGAGGGGCUAGCUCGAGGCAGGGCUGGUGGGGCCUGAGGCCAGUGAGGAGUGUGGAGUAGGCGCCCAGGCAUCGUG